GGUUAAGCGACUAAGCGUACACGGUGGAUGCCCUGGCAGUCAGAGGCGAUGAAGGACGUGCUAAUCUGCGAAAAGCGUCGGUAAGGUGAUAUGAACCGUUACAGCCGGCGAUGUCCGAAUGGGGAAACCCAGUGCAAUUCGUUGCACUAUCGUUAACUGAAUACAUAGGUUAACGAGGCGAACCGGGGGAACUGAAACAUCUAAGUACCCCGAGGAAAAGAAAUCAACCGAGAUUCCCCCAGUAGCGGCGAGCGAACGGGGAGCAGCCCAGAGUCUGAAUCAGCUUGUGUGUUAGUGGAACGGUCUGGAAAGUCCGACGGUACAGGGUGAUAGUCCCGUACACCAAAAUGCACAGGCUGUGAACUCGAAGAGUAGGGCGGGACACGUGGUAUCCUGUCUGAAUAUGGGGGGACCAUCCUCCAAGGCUAAAUACUCCUGACUGACCGAUAGUGAACCAGUACCGUGAGGGAAAGGCGAAAAGAACCCCGGCGAGGGGAGUGAAAAAGAACCUGAAACCGUGUACGUACAAGCAGUGGGAGCACCUUCGGGUGUGACUGCGUACCUUUUGUAUAAUGGGUCAGCGACUUAUAUUCUGUAGCAAGGUUAACCGUAUAGGGGAGCCGCAGGGAAACCGAGUCUUAACUGGGCGUUAAGUUGCAGGGUAUAGACCCGAAACCCGGUGAUCUAGCCAUGGGCAGGUUGAAGGUUGGGUAACACUAACUGGAGGACCGAACCGACUAAUGUUGAAAAAUUAGCGGAUGACUUGUGGCUGGGGGUGAAAGGCCAAUCAAACCGGGAGAUAGCUGGUUCUCCCCGAAAGCUAUUUAGGUAGCGCCUCGUGAAUUCAUCUUCGGGGGUAGAGCACUGUUUCGGCUAGGGGGUCAUCCCGACUUACCAACCCGAUGCAAACUACGAAUACCGAAGAAUGUUAUCACGGGAGACACACGGCGGGUGCUAACGUCCGUCGUGAAGAGGGAAACAACCCAGACCGCCAGCUAAGGUCCCAAAGUCAUGGUUAAGUGGGAAACGAUGUGGGAAGGCACAGACAGCCAGGAUGUUGGCUUAGAAGCAGCCAUCAUUUAAAGAAAGCGUAAUAGCUCACUGGUCGAGUCGGCCUGCGCGGAAGAUGUAACGGGGCUAAACCAUGCACCGAAGCUGCGGCAGCGACACUAUGUGUUGUUGGGUAGGGGAGCGUUCUGUAAGCCUGCGAAGGUGUGCUGUGAGGCAUGCUGGAGGUAUCAGAAGUGCGAAUGCUGACAUAAGUAACGAUAAAGCGGGUGAAAAGCCCGCUCGCCGGAAGACCAAGGGUUCCUGUCCAACGUUAAUCGGGGCAGGGUGAGUCGACCCCUAAGGCGAGGCCGAAAGGCGUAGUCGAUGGGAAACAGGUUAAUAUUCCUGUACUUGGUGUUACUGCGAAGGGGGGACGGAGAAGGCUAUGUUAGCCGGGCGACGGUUGUCCCGGUUUAAGCAUGUAGGCUGGUUGUCCAGGCAAAUCCGGAUAAUCAAGGCUGAGGUGUGAUGACGAGGCACUACGGUGCUGAAGUAACAAAUGCCCUGCUUCCAGGAAAAGCCUCUAAGCAUCAGGUAACAUUAAAUCGUACCCCAAACCGACACAGGUGGUCAGGUAGAGAAUACCAAGGCGCUUGAGAGAACUCGGGUGAAGGAACUAGGCAAAAUGGUGCCGUAACUUCGGGAGAAGGCACGCUGGUGUGUAGGUGAAGUCCCUGCGGAUGGAGCUGAGACCAGUCGAAGAUACCAGCUGGCUGCAACUGUUUAUUAAAAACACAGCACUGUGCAAACACGAAAGUGGACGUAUACGGUGUGACGCCUGCCCGGUGCCGGAAGGUUAAUUGAUGGGGUUAUCCGUAAGGAGAAGCUCUUGAUCGAAGCCCCGGUAAACGGCGGCCGUAACUAUAACGGUCCUAAGGUAGCGAAAUUCCUUGUCGGGUAAGUUCCGACCUGCACGAAUGGCGUAAUGAUGGCCAGGCUGUCUCCACCCGAGACUCAGUGAAAUUGAACUCGCUGUGAAGAUGCAGUGUACCCGCGGCAAGACGGAAAGACCCCGUGAACCUUUACUAUAGCUUGACACUGAACAUUGAGCCUUGAUGUGUAGGAUAGGUGGGAGGCUUUGAAGCGUGGACGCCAGUCUGCGUGGAGCCAACCUUGAAAUACCACCCUUUAAUGUUUGAUGUUCUAACGUUGGCCCCUGACCGGGGUUGCGGACAGUGUCUGGUGGGUAGUUUGACUGGGGCGGUCUCCUCCCAAAGCGUAACGGAGGAGCACGAAGGUUAGCUAAUCCUGGUCGGACAUCAGGAGGUUAGUGCAAUGGCAUAAGCUAGCUUGACUGCGAGCGUGACGGCGCGAGCAGGUGCGAAAGCAGGUCAUAGUGAUCCGGUGGUUCUGAAUGGAAGGGCCAUCGCUCAACGGAUAAAAGGUACUCCGGGGAUAACAGGCUGAUACCGCCCAAGAGUUCAUAUCGACGGCGGUGUUUGGCACCUCGAUGUCGGCUCAUCACAUCCUGGGGCUGAAGUAGGUCCCAAGGGUAUGGCUGUUCGCCAUUUAAAGUGGUACGCGAGCUGGGUUUAGAACGUCGUGAGACAGUUCGGUCCCUAUCUGCCGUGGGCGCUGGAGAAUUGAGGGGGGCUGCUCCUAGUACGAGAGGACCGGAGUGGACGCAUCACUGGUGUUCGGGUUGUCAUGCCAAUGGCACUGCCCGGUAGCUAAAUGCGGAAGAGAUAAGUGCUGAAAGCAUCUAAGCACGAAACUUGCCCCGAGAUGAGUUCUCCCUGAGACUUUAAGUCUCCUGAAGGAACGUUAAAGACGAUGACGUUGAUAGGCCGGGUGUGUAAGCGCAGCGAUGCGUUGAGCUAACCGGUACUAAUGAACCGUGAGGCUUAACCUU
rnacentral:rRNA from 1 species